GUCCUUGCCACCUUGGACGCCACGUGUCGACCCAAAUAUUACACCAAAGAAUUGGAGAAGGCCCUGAAUGUUGGACUGCGUUUUGGCAUAAUACGCGAAAUGAAUAAUAAAUAUUAUCUGUAUGAAUAUGCGAAAAUAAAUUCGCUCGGAAAAAUUACAUACGAGUUUACCUAAAACCCCCUGAGUCCUUUCCGAUGCAUAAACAAGGACGAGGAGGACGACGAUGAUGAACAAGAGGACGACGAUGAUGAACAAGAGGAAGAGGAUGAUGAAGACGAGGAAGAGGAUGAUGACGACGAGGAAACUGACAAAAAAUGCUCACACCAAAAUGAUAUGGAAACCGAUUUGGUAGAAAAAUCAACAGAAGCUCGUGCCAAGAUUGUUGGUGAUAAAUUAAAUUAUAUAUAAGGGAAGAUUAUAACAAUUAUUAUUUUCUGCUUAUUUAAGAAAGAGGCGCUCAACUUCUGAAUAUUUUAGUAAGAUGCAUUUGAACAAUUGACAAUUAUUUAAACAGGAUUAUUACAGCCCACAUUUUGUAUAUGAAUUUAGGAUUCUUAAUAAAAAAAGAUGACGACAAUUAUUCUU
ensembl:ncRNA lncRNA:CR46043 long non-coding RNA:CR46043